rnacentral:rRNA from 1 species
CGCGCAGGCGGCCAGGUAAGUCGAAUGUGAAAGCCCCCGGCUCAACUGAGGAGGGUCAUUCGAUACUGCUUGGCUUGAAGGUAGGAGAGGGAAGCGGAAUUUCAGGUGUAGUGGUGAAAUGCGUAGAUAUCUGAAGGAACACCAGUGGCGAAGGCGGCUUUCUGGCCUAUUCUUGACGCUGAGGCGCGAAAGCUAGGGGAGCGAACG